ACAUGCAGUCGAACGGGUCUGCCGCAAGCAGAUUAGUGGCGCAAGGGUGAGUAAGGCGACGGUAACCAACCCCAUGGUUGGGCAUAGCCGCGGGAAACUGCGGGUAAUUCCCAGCGAUGUUGGCUUGAGGCAUCUUGAGCCAACCAAAGCUCUGGCGCCGUGGGACGGACCGUCGUGGUAUUAGGUUGUUGGCGGGGUAAUGGCCCACCAAGCCUCUGAUGCCUACCGGGCGUGCGCGCGUGGCCCGGCACACUGGGACUGAGACACUGCCCAGACUCCUACGGGAGUGCUGCAGUCAGAGAAUCUUCGGCAAUGGGCGCAAGCCUGACCGAGCGACGCCGCGUGGAGUGACGAAGUGCCUUCGGGUUG
rnacentral:rRNA from 1 species